AGAACGAACGGCAAUUUGUCACAACUCGAUCCAGUUUCCCAGCACUAAAAAAAAUUUCCUAGAAAAAGAAACAGGUCAUCUUGGUUACGGAGGCUUGAUAAAAUCGUUCAGGGACAUCUCCAACAUCUGGACAGAGAAGCUUCACGGAUUGGUCUGGUCAUGGAAACAAAUGCAAUGCUCUUGGUCACCUCACCGUGUCCAGAUCUCCAGAUCAUGUCCUGCUUGGAAUUAUCUCCAGAAGAAGCUGGGAAUUUGGGUGCCCCACCAGGAGAGAUGCAGAGAUGCCCCUGGAAUGUGUCUCCGAUGCGGAAGCGCGUCGCUCCUGAAUGCGAACACAUGCAAGACGACCAGCUGGAACGCCGCAGGGAAACUGCGGAGUUUCCUACUCGCCGGAUCAAAGCACGUCUUUCUCCAGCAAACAGUUAUACAGUCACACAAGCCACUCCGGUCCAGCAGUAUAAUGAUGUUAAAUACACACUGAUAACUUCCUAAUCAUCACUGUCAUUUAUUCACCACUUGUGCUUUGAUUAUAUGUAUUAUUAUGUAUAUUGAAUAUUGUAUUUUGCAUGCAUAUUAUAUGUAUAGUAUAUUGUAUAUUGUUCAUGUUAUUGAUCUCACAGCUAUACAUUCUUUUAUUAGCUAUUUAUUGGUCUUUAUUGUUAUGUGCUGUGCAGUUCUGCUAAGCAAGUAUUUCAGUGUACUUGUACUUGUACAGAUGACAAUAAAGUUUUUUGAAUGCCUGAA